ensembl:lncRNA
CCCCCAUGACCGCAUGACAUUUGGGUGGUGGAUGUCUUUGGUGAAGACGGUCGCCUUAAACUGUCCUGAUUGACACCGGUCAGAAUCCCCUCUGAAUCGCUGUGUUUAAAAGUGUAUGCUACAUGAUGAAAUAAGGGUAUUUACUCAUAGUGCCGAGGUAAGUUUUAUAAACUUUAGGAAAGAAUUGAUGUCGUUAUGUGUCUCUUAAUGUCAUAAGUGGUUAAAAUGUGUUUUUUCAAACAGAUAUAUAUAUAUAUAUAUUUUCUCUAUCUAUUUUUGACAUCAGUUUUUGGCCAUACCACAAAUGUUAAAUUAAAUACUAUACACCAGUUUGAAGACUGAAAGGGGAAUACUUAAUGGUAAAAUCCGAUCGGAUUUUGCAUGGAAAUAUUGCUUACUGCUACUGUAUUGUGCAUCAGUCCUAUGUUGCAUGAAUUAAUUAUUCAUGGUCUGAGUUCGUUUGUUAAUGUGUUAUCAUGCAGAUCCAUUAAAGAUACAAUCACAAAACUUCCAUGGCUAAUUUGACAACUUUUGUGUUUAUUGACCCAUAAAACAUUCUUCAAACAAUAAAACGAUUUUAAACGUUUCUGUACAACGCUUGCUAAGCAGUUUAUUCAUAUAUAGAAAAAUGUACGCGGAGGCGUGUCCAAAUGACAGCUCUCCUUCAAAUUUAAUGGCAGGUAUUCUGGAAAAAAAAUGACAGCAUUCCAUCAACAAAUACUUUCAAGCAAUAAAUAUGUAUUUUAUAAAUAGUGUGAAUUUACAUUGAGAUUAGAAAUUUUAACGAAAAAACAAAAUCACAAAUUAAGCUUUUAUUCCAUAAGUCUAUGUGCAAACCCAUUUUCUUUGUGACUUGGCUAGUUAUUUUUAUCCUCUAAAAAUAUUCCUAUUUUAAACUAAAAUGAAAAAGAAAGUUUCAAAAUGAACGGAGAUGUUAAAUGUAAAAAGCUGUGAAAUAAAAAUAGGAACGAAAAAAUCAUCAUCCAAGCUUUUCACAUUACAUUUUUUUUGUAGAUUUCAAAGUCUUAAAAUCACUAUCUACCAUCGAAAAUGAAGACCAGUUAGGCUAGUACGCCAUUAGACAAAAACGGGAAGAAACAAGAAAAUUAAUGGAGAGAGAGAAAUCCAACAAAAAAGAAAAAGGGGGAUAAAGCCAGCGAUUCAUUCUGUUAACCGAAAAUUUAACAAACGAGAAGAAAGCGAGAGAAAAGAAGAAAAGGUAGUCACGUCAGUAGUCGUUUUUAACAAAUGGCGACGCCAUUCGCGGUAAUUAUCUACAAAAAAAAAGAACCCCAAAAAAAAAAAGAAAAACACACGUCGCAAUCACACAAUCCAAACUACUGCUCCGUCGAGGCCCCGCCCCGCCACAACCCCGAAGUCUCGUUAAAGUUGUCCGAUAAAACAGGGCGGAACUAUUGUCACUAAGGGGGGGGGUGGGGGGAGGGAGAAGGAAGAGAACAGGGGGUUGUGUGGGGUGAAACGAAGAAAUAAAAAUAAGAAAACUAUAUUUAUAAAGUCCUGUGUUGGGAAGGGGAGGGGGCGUUUAGUGCACAGAAUGCCGCGCCCCUCACCCCGCCCCCCUUGUCCCUCCCUCGGCCAAUGGGAGGGCAGCAGCCAGCACUUUGAGACACAUUGCAUAGACAGACACUUGGGCUCUGACCUGUCGCCAUGGAGACCAGGCGGGCGGAGACGGGGGGCAGGGGUGGCGGUGGCUAGGAGGGGAGGAGGGGGAACGGCCUUGGCUUUUCCUGAAUAUCAGAAAUGGUCCGUGUACGUUUUUAAUUUAAUUAAAUGUCUCCUCUUUUUUAUUUUUUUUUAUUUUCUUCUCCGUUUAUUUUUCGUCUUUUCCUUCCAAAAGACUCCGCCCGCUGCCGUGGGCGGGCGGCGGGGGGGCGGCGGCGCCGUAAGUGGUGGGCGUGGUCUGAUGUCAAGACGACGACGAGGGGUGGAGCGGCGGCGCCUGAAAAGAGCGGGAACAUGACAUCGUCGGUUACAGCGUCGACGGCGGCCGGUGUGCGAGGUUUCACGCCGGGAGCGGGACGGUUCAGACGAGCCUCAGGACGGGGGGCAGUGAGGAGGUUCAGGGCGUGAUCGCACGGUGUACCGCUACCCGACUCAAAGGUCUCACUGCACGAGGGGGUCC